AACACACGUUGGGGAUAACUUUUCAUCAGUCAUUGCUUGAGUUUAAAAGCUCUAUAUUUGGAUGCAUCCACAUUCUCAGUGUCCUUAGGAAUGAUAACAAAUUUCUCCAGCAAAUCUUGAUUCUUUCAUAUACUUUAUUUGCUUAUUUCAGAUGACCUCCAUCUCAAUUACUUUUUUACAGAAUACAUCAUAAGACUUCUCGUACAAUGAUGCUCUUGUUGCUUCUUCGUCUCUCUGGUGAGGAAUAUUGUAUAAUUGCAGUAGCAAACUUUGUGAUAGCGGAUUUCCAGAGCUACACAGUCUUUCCCCUGGAUUUAUACGAGUAUUCGUUGAUCAUUCUUUCUCUCGGCAGCUGUACGUAGAAGACCAGCAUCAAUUGUUUCUGCCAACAUGAGUGGGGUUCUUCUUCUCUUCUUAGUUACCUGGUGUGAAACAAAAUAAAUUAUUAAACUAAAUAUCUGCUAAUAACAAGGUUGGAUGUUUGUAGCAUAGAAACUACUUUACCCUAAAUAAACUUAAUUGAUCACAAUUCAAUAUAUUUUAAAACCAAACCUGAGAAUGUUGUGCACAUUGCGCUAGUAUUAUACCUAUCAAAAUGACCAUACCUUGUCUAGUGAGAACCACGAGGCGUCUCUUCCACAAAUAAUACAUAUCUCUGGGAGUACAUGCGCGUUUCUUUUAGGCAGGGCGCCAGGGCCUUUAUAUUUUAACGUGUAAUUUUUCGCCUUGGUUCCAUUGCCUCCACUUCCACGUGUGAUUCUUCGGUAGAAGUUACAGUUUUACAGCUAGUUCCUUCUCCUUUUUCUUCUUUUCUCUGUUAUCUACAGAUCUUCUCUUCAUCACAAAAUCUCUUCCAGCAUUUCAUAUGAUGGUUCCAUUCUAAGUUAAUGGUGUCAGGGUUCUUCUCCAUGUAUGAAUUAUUGAAUUGACAGAUCCGUCAUCGAUGUUCUCGUACCGAUAUCUUAGCUAUAUCAGCUUGUUGACAUUUAAGUUUGGCCCAUUUUGACCUACACUCAAGAAAUUUCUGAAGCCUUGGGCGUGUAACUUUGCAAAGUUGCUCCGUAACGCCAUCAAAAUGCAUAAAACAUGAGGAUAUUCGAGUUUUAUAAAUAUCUUCAGCCAUGUUUAUUUGCAUAACUGAGCGUGUUUCCACUUCGAAGCAUGUGCGUUGGUUAUGCGCGUGCGCAAUGCGAGUUUGGGUGAGUUGCGCAUGCGUAUUUGCUAUCAAAACAAUGGCGGUUCGAGUAUUUCGAAGCGCGAAAAUAUCAAACUUUGGAGGGAUUUUUCUCCCAAAUGUGCACCUGUUUCGCUUGGGGAGCAACGGAUUCUGAUAAAGUAAGUUUUCAUCUAUUUAUUCAUGUGAAAAUUACGUAGUUACACGAGGGGUGCAACGGAAUCCGUUUUCUAAGCAUCUUUUGGAUGCUCAUCCUACGGCCUAUUAUACUUGCAUUCUUUCGAAAUCGCGAUCUUUCGGCUAUUUUAUAUACUUUAUUUUAUCAAGAAUUCUUCCGACAAUCCUAUUUCCCACGCACCGUACGUCAUUCUCUGGAACAAUCUACCACCAAACAUCAAAGCCGCCCAUUCCCUACAGAUCUUCAAGCACCAUCUACAAUCUUAUUACAAAGCCAAACUGUUUACCUACUAACCUACAUACCACCAUAGAUAAUUUUGUUCUAAAAUUCGUUGUACAGUAUCCUAUAUGUUAAGUUGCAUGUAAUCUGUGAUAUGUUCGUGCAUAAUUGUCCUGGUACGUCUCGUUAUCCAUCAAUUGUUAAGGGGUCGAAUAUCAAUUGGAAUUUAGUUUCUGUUUUCUUCUCCUGUCACAGCAUUUUCUAGUUAUUGUUAUUGUUAUCUCUGGCUACGUAAAU